rnacentral:lncRNA from 1 species
CCUUUUUAGCUCACCUGGCCCGAAGGGCCAAGUGAGCUUUUCCCAUCACUUUGCGUCCGGCGUCCGUCGUCGUCGUCGUCGUCCGUCGUCUGUCGUCCGUCGUCGUCCGUCGUCGUUAACUUUUACAAAAAUCUUCUCCUCUGAAACUACUGGGCCAAAUCAAACCAAACUUGGCCACAAUCAUCAUUGGGGUAUCUAGUUUAAAAAAUGUGUGGCGUGACCCGGUCAACCAACCAAGAUGGCCGCCACGGCUAAAAAUAGAACAUAGGGGUAAAAUGCAGUUUUUGUCUUAUAACUCAAAAACCAAAGCAUUUAGAGCAAAUCUGACAUGGGGUAAAAAUGUUUAUCAGGUCAAGAUCUAUCUGCCCUGAAAUUUUCAGAUGAAUCGG